rnacentral:rRNA from 1 species
AUUCCAGCUCCAAUAGCGUAUAUUAAAGUUGCUGCAGUUAAAAAGCUCGUAGUUGGAUUUCUGGUCGUGGUCGCCGGUCGUGCCCAAACGGGUUCUGUACCUGGCGCCCGCGUCCAUCCUCGGGGAGAGCGUGUCUGGCAUUAAGUUGUCGGGCUCGGGACCCCCGUCAUUUACUGUGAGCAAAAUAGAGUGUUCAAAGCAGGCUUAGGCCAUGAAUACAUUAGCAUGGAAUAAUAAGAUAAGACCUUGGUCUAUUUUGUUGGUUUGCAUUCCAAGGUAAUGAUUAAUAGGGAUAGUUGGGGGUAUUCGUAUUCAAUUGUCAGAGGUGAAAUUCUUGGAUUUAUGGAAGACGAACUACUGCGAAAGCAUUUACCAAGGAUGUUUUCAUCG